CCUAUGCCUGCUAUUGCAAUCAGAAGAAGAUUAGCCUUUGUCCCGACACGGACAACAAAACCGUUACUUUCUUCUGAACAAAAAGGACUAGAAUUUCACGCGGAACCAUGAAAUUUUCCACUGCAAUUGUCUUUUGCACAAUUUUACUCUGUGCCGUAACGAUUGGGACUCAAGCUCGGGAAUGCGGAUACAGUGGGUGCCGCGAGUUUGGGACUAUCGUGCAAACACGGUGUAGCACCGCGGCGACGGGUGGGCGUGGCAUGACGGAAUUCCAGUAUGACAAGAAAUGUGGGCUGUUCGGGUGGGGACGAAAGGACUAUUGCUGCACGAAAGAGUAAACGAUUGUCCGGAUUCGGAAUUUGAUUUUUGGGUCAAUAAGUUUACAGACAAGGAACAUUAAUGUUUUCAAUUAACUCUUAAUUGUUAAUAAUUAGACACAAAAAAUUGGCAUGCAUAAUAAAUAUUACGCAAACGUCAAUUAAUAAAACUUUUUCUUCUGUAUCGAA